UUGCUUCUCUUGAGAGCGGCGGACGGGUGAGUAAUGCCUAGGAAUCUGCCUGGUAGUGGGGGAUAACGUUCGGAAACGGACGCUAAUACCGCAUACGUCCUACGGGAGAAAGCAGGGGACCUUCGGGCCUUGCGCUAUCAGAUGAGCCUAGGUCGGAUUAGCUAGUUGGUGAGGUAAUGGCUCACCAAGGCGACGAUCCGUAACUGGUCUGAGAGGAUGAUCAGUCACACUGGAACUGAGACACGGUCCAGACUCCUACGGGAGGCAGCAGUGGGGAAUAUUGGACAAUGGGCGAAAGCCUGAUCCAGCCAUGCCGCGUGUGUGAAGAAGGUCUUCGGAUUGUAAAGCACUUUAAGUUGGGAGGAAGGGCAGUUGCCUAAUACGUAACUGUUUUGACGUUACCGACAGAAUAAGCACCGGCUAACUCUGUGCCAGCAGCCGCGGUAAUACAGAGGGUGCAAGCGUUAAUCGGAAUUACUGGGCGUAAAGCGCGCGUAGGUGGUUUGUUAAGUUGGAUGUGAAAUCCCCGGGCUCAACCUGGGAACUGCAUUCAAAACUGACUGACUAGAGUAUGGUAGAGGG
rnacentral:rRNA from 1 species